CAAUUGAAUAGCGAACAGGGUGCCUCAACUCCCGGAUGGGGAGGCUCAAAGGCGAAGCCGGUGCAAGUCCGGUGCUGUCCCGCAACUGUAAGUUCAGGAUUUGAGAUUUAUCAAUCCUGAACGAGUCAGGCCGCCCGCCCUGGUCAGCUCACCCCA
rnacentral:ncRNA from 2 species